rnacentral:ncRNA from 1 species
UAAUAAUAUAACCUUUCGGGUGCCCCGUGAUGGGGAGAAUAGGGAAUCAGGUGAAAAUCCUGAGCGGACCCGCCGCUGUGACGGGGAUUCCCCUUGCAAAAUGCCACUGGGAAACCGGGAAGGCGUAAGGGGAGAUGAACCGGAGCCAGAAGACCUGCCCGAAAGGUUUGCUACGG